rnacentral:rRNA from 1 species
AUGUCCGCCUCACGCGCCCUCCUCUCGAGCCCGCACGGCGGUGCGAGCCGGACCUUCACGAGAGCGCCGACCCGCCUCGCCGCGGCCUCGAUCCCGUUCGCGCGCUGCGGCGCUCUCCGCGCCCGGACCGCGAUCCUGUCGUCGCCGGCGGCCACUGUGCCGGUGACCUCUUCGGAGCCGAAGCGCCGGAUCUCGCGCUCCGUGUCGGACUCGGCGCCGCUGGCGAAGCCUGCGGUCCUGGUGGCGGAGAAGCUGGGCGAGGCCGGGCUGGACGUGCUGCGUCAGUUCGCCGACGUGGAGUGCGCGUACGGCAUGUCCCCCGCCGAGCUCCUGGCCAAGGUGGCGCAGUUCGACGCGCUCAUCGUGCGGAGCGGCACCAAGGUGACGAGGGAGGUGCUGGAGGCGGGGCGCGGGCGGCUGCGGGUGGUCGGCCGGGCCGGCGUCGGGAUAGACAACGUCGACCUGCAGGCGGCGACGGAGGCGGGGUGCCUUGUCGUGAACGCCCCCACCGCCAACACCGUCGCCGCGGCGGAGCACGGCAUCGCGCUGCUCGCCUGCAUGGCCCGCAACGUCUCGCAGGCGGACGCCGCGCUCAAGGCCGGCAAAUGGCAAAGAGCCAAGUAUGUUGGAGUUUCCCUAGUUGGAAAGACUCUUGCCAUCAUGGGCUUUGGAAAGGUUGGCUCGGAGGUAGCAAGGCGAGCGAAAGGGCUAGGGAUGCAUGUGAUUGCUCAUGACCCCUAUGCUCCGGCCGACAAGGCCCGUGCCAUUGGAGCAGAGCUGGUGUCCUUCGAGGAGGCCAUCGCCAAGGCUGACUUCAUCUCCCUCCAUAUGCCGCUCACCCCGGCGACAUCCAAGGUCUUCAACGACGAAUCCUUCGGGAAGAUGAAGACCGGCGUGCGGAUCAUCAAUGUGGCCAGGGGCGGCGUGAUCGAUGAAGAUGCUCUGGUCAGGGCGCUGGACUCCGGCAAAGUUGCUCAGGCAGCUCUUGAUGUCUUCACAGUGGAGCCCCCGGCGAAGGACAGCAAGCUGGUUCUUCAUGAGAAUGUCACUGUCACGCCCCAUCUUGGAGCAAGCACAGUGGAGGCGCAGGAAGGCGUCGCCAUCGAAAUUGCUGAAGCCGUGGGCGGCGCACUGAGAGGUGAGCUCGCAGCGACCGCUGUGAAUGCUCCCAUGGUCCCAGCAGAGGUCUUGUCAGAGCUAGCUCCGUACGUUUCCCUGGCGGAGAAGCUGGGGAGGCUGGCAGUGCAGCUCGUCGCCGGAGAGAGCGGCAUCAAGGGCGUCAAGGUGGUGUACACCUCAGCCAGGGAUCCCGACGACCUCGACACGAGGCUCCUCCGGGCGAUGGUCACCAAGGGCAUCGUGGAGCCCGUGUCCAGCACCUUCGUCAACCUCGUGAACGCGGACUACACGGCGAAGCAGCGCGGCCUGCGCAUCGCCGAGGAGCGGGUCUCCCACGACAACGCCGCCGCCGAGGCGCCGCUGGAGUCCAUCCAGGUACGCCUCUCGCACGUGCAGUCCAAGUUCGCCGGGGCGAUCAGCGACGGCGGGGACAUCGUCGUCGUGGGCAGGGUCAAGUACGGCGUGCCUCACCUGACCGUCGUCGGGCCCUACGAGGUCGACGUCAGCCUGGAGGGGAACCUGAUCCUGUGCCGGCAGAUCGACCAGCCCGGGAUGAUCGGCAAGGUCGGGAACAUCCUCGGGCAGAGGAAUGUGAACGUCAGCUUCAUGAGCGUCGGCCGCACCUCCCGUGGCAAGCAGGCGAUCAUGGCCAUCGGCGUGGACGAGGAGCCGGACAAGAAGACGCUCGAGAAGAUUGGGGCGAUCCCGGCCGUCGAGGAGUUUGUGUUCCUCGAGCUAUGA